rnacentral:tRNA from 1 species
UCCGGGGUAGUUCAGCGGUAGAACGCUCGGCUUGGACCGAGUGGGCGCUGGUUCGAAUCCAGCCCCCGGAC